CGCAGGACUCUCGCCCCUACACACCUUCCUGCCAGCCAGAGGAGGGGUCUGGGACUGAGAGAAGACCAGUGCUGACUGAGGGAUUGAACUUGGGACCUUCUGCUUGAGAGGCAGGCUGUGGAACCACUGAGCUAAAUCCCUGGCCCUCCUUUUCUAAACUAUAGAAAAUUGGUGACAUUUGAACAAGUCACCCUGAUUAAUAUCUUACAACUUUGUCUUAAGCAUUGUUUCCCCCUCCACUUCUAUACAGGUAAUUACAGGUACUGUUAUUCCCAAGUAGUUUAUACAUUUUCUUUCUUUUUCUCUUUUUAAACUAAGAAUCUAACCCAGGGCUUCCUGUAUGGCAGGCAAGCACUCUAUCGCUGAGCUACACCCCAGCCCCUCUGUUGGAUAUUAACUGGUACUAUUUACAUUGAGCUGUUAAAUAUGAAAAUACUGAAACAUGAGACUUUGUAACCCUGCAGAAUGAGAAAAGGCUAUGUGAAUUAAAAAAAAAUCCAAGAGUAGAUCUUGGCAUUAACCACUUUCAAUUUUUACUAGUGAUACAUUAUCAAAUACAUCUUUAAAAAAUGAAAGCAUUCCGCUGGCUUGUUUAAAUUGCUUGUAAAGCAAUUGACAGUUAACCACUCUUGCAAUCAAAGAAGGAAUCAAAGAUGAAUGCUGUUUAGCACUGUUCACCAGGCAGAGAAAAUAGUCGACACUCAUUAAACAUCGCUUGAUACAAUAAUAAUAUAAAUUAUUGGACUCCCUAAUAAAGUAUUUCACUAAUAAUUUGCAAAGAAGUUGGCCUAAGGCUCUUCUCUCAGCAGCACUAACUUUCAUGCUUGUCACAAAGUAUUUGUAGGGGAGGUCUCAAUCUCCAAAUUUCAGAAAAGUGCUUUACAAGAAGGAAUUGUUAUUAGGGAAUCCAACAUAAUGAUUUUAAAAUUCUAAUCAUUUUUCUCUUCUCAAAAGUGCUGCGUGAAUUGCAGAAAUUAAUGAAUGCAGAGACAUAAAAGAAGAAAAAAAUGAAACCGUAAUCUUCUCUCCAAAGAUAAAACCAUGGUUAACAUUUGAUGUUUUUCCUGCUGCCAUAUAUGUAUUUUUCACAGAAAAGGGCUCAUAUUGUGUAUAUUGUUUGAUAAAUGACUUCUUCACUCAGUAACAAAUCUUGAAUUUCCAAGUCGAAAUCAUUUUUCUACAACAUCAAUUAAAUGACUAUGUUGUUAUCAUAAAUAUUCUUAUCAUUAGACAUUUAGGGUUUUUCUAGUUUUUAAUUUUAUAAACAAUGCCACCCUGAACAACUUUAUCAGUAAAAUUCUCAACAAAUUUUUACGUUUUCCUUGAAAUAUAUUUCUGGGCCAUGGAAAUAGGAGGGAGGAAUUUGGUAAGAUUUAUCUGUAAUACAUCAAAUUUUCCUUUUUUUGCUUCUUCUUUGUUUACUUUCUUUUGUUUCUGGUCUUUUGUAGAUUAUUCAAAACCAAACAAAGCCAUCAUGGAGAACAGUGGGUUCCAGACACUUGGGUGAGGCCCUGAGAAAUGAAGUGAGCCCACACCACGACCCAGGAUGGAGUUCUCCAAGCAUAUCCUAGCAGGACCGUUUUCACUAGUCGAUGGUUCACCUCUCAUUGCUUCUUCCCAGUUGAGCUUAGAUUUCUAGAUUCCCAUGGUAGUGCUUAGCAACAUCCCUGGAGUGAUCAGGAGGAGGGGAUUCCUAUUCUAGGCUCCUCAGGCACACACAAAAGAGGGUGAGGCUGGCUGACUUGUGAGGAAGAGCAGUAGGAACAGGGAAAUACUAGAAGACAGCUCAUCAUGCUGAAUGGAUCUCCACCACCAUACCUGUAGCGCCCUGGACAGUUGAGGUAAGGGUGGGGCCAGCUAUAGCUCCAGGGUUUGCACCCAGUCUUCUUUGAGCCAAGCAAAGCUGCCAUGUGGGGUGUUCUCCCUGCAGAGAGCUUGCCUAACACUGGGCCAAGUGGCACUUUCUCAUGGCUUCACAGAAGACAGCGUCUCAUGAAGGCAAGCCAAGGACACAGACAGGGAGGAAAGGAAGUGGAAGAACAGCGAAUCAGCAUAGUAAGAAAGGAAAGGGGGUGGAAAAAGAGGCAGGGUUCAACAGUCCAAGCCCAUGCAGUGGUUUUCACAGUGUUCUGAUUUGGAGUCUAGUUUGAAGAGGAUGAUUUCAUAGUCUGUGUAGGAAUAAGGGGCAUUUUUACUGAAAAAUGCAAAAAAAAAAAAAAAAAUUCAUUUUCAGUUGUUACAUCCAGGUCAGUUUUAUGGGUACAGCUAAUCUCUGGUUAAAUGUUAACACUUCAGUUAUCCUAAGGGAAAAAUGACUGACCCCCAACCUUCCCCUUUCCCAGCAUUUGGAGAAAAUAAAGGAUUAGGUAAAAGGCUUUCAUUUUUCCUCAUUCUCCACUGUGGGCAGGGGUUCAUGUAACAGUUGGAAGCCAUUUUUAACAGGAAACCCAAGUAAAUCCAGAAGAGAUUCACUCACAGAGCUUACAUUUUGCUAGAAAAUGAGAACUUUUAACUAAAAAUUGACAAGUUUCCCCUCUCUCCAUCUUUCUUCCCUCUUAUCUCUCCUCAUCUCCCUCCCAUUGCUCUAGUGGAAAAUGACUGUGGUGAGUUGGGUUUACAUUUUGAGCAAGAUGGGAGCCUCUAUAUCCAAGAGAUGCCACCAAGAGACUACAUUUUGUUGUUGGAUCCCUGUAAAACAGAAUUUUAAUUUUCUUAGACUGUAAAAUUGAUCACAUUUACUGAUGGUGGAUUGGGAAGUACGGUGAGGUGAGUUGGGGAGGUUUCAUUUAUCCAGUGGUGUUAUUGCCAUUUUAAUGUGAUCUUCUGCUGAGUAUUUGCUUUCUAAAAUCUAUUCCCUCUCAGGAUUCUUUUUCACUCAGUCCUUUUAGAAGAUUGAUGCAAACAGAUUUCCAAUUCAUUUCCAUAGAAAGUCUUCAUUCCUGUCAGCAGGAGAGCUUUGUUAGGUGGUAGGAACAUAAGGCUGUGGGUCUCUUAACUAACACUACUAUUCCAAAAUACAGAUGCUUUCCAUCUGUGAGUCCUGAUCUCUCUCCAUUCCUCAAGAUGCUCGACUUCCAUGACUCCUCUUUCCUCUGCUCAGGUCACAUAUGUGGAGCUGGAAAGGAUCCCUGAUGAUUGGCAGUGACAAUGGUGGAAUGUGGAGGUGAAGUUAACACCUUCACACCUACAGAUUUCCCUUAGCAGAGCUGUGGAGUGUGACAAUGGUGUUUGUGUCCAAACUAUCAAACGCCAUCAUCACACUAAAUAGCUACUGCUAGGCAAUCCUUCCACUCAGUAUAAGUCUUGGCAACUGUUUGGUCUGGGCAAGAAGGCUCAUCUUAUACCAACCAGUGUUCUCUAUCAUGUGUAACUUGGAAUAAAGUCUGAUACUCUUGUGGUCAUAACUAUUUGCCUGCCUGAACCCUGCCUCUCACACGCUGUUGUUAAAUAGAUGAUAAUUCUGAUGAUAAAGAAAAAACAACUCAAAAUCAGUUUCUCCCAUUGUACACUCACAACACAAAUCACUUCUGGCACCAGAUAUUUGAGGAUCUCUCCCCAACAAGCAAGCAGUUAAUUCCACAGCAGACUCCAUCUGGGAGUCCUCUAAUCUAGUUCUGCUCUGACACUCUACCUGGAGAUAUUGUCACAUGCCACAGGGUGAAGGCUCAGUCCUCAAGAAGGCACCUCAUUCAGAUGUCAGGCACAAGCCCCAGAUUGUUUUCCCUGUGCUUCUGACCUACUUUCGAUAAAUCAGGGUUCCCACAUUGCCUCCUCGAGUUCAAUUCAUUUGUUUGAGCAGCUCACAGAACUCAGGGAAAGAUAUACUUACCUUUAAAAGCUUAUUAUAAAGCAGACGAUAAAGGCUACAAAGGAAGAGAUGCACAGAGUGAGUUUAGGGGUAGUGGGUGUAGAGCUUCCACACCCCUUCUAAGAGUGCCAUCCUCCAGUACCCUCCAUGUGUUCAGUUACCCGGAAGCUCUCUGAACUCUGUCCUUUUGGGAUUUUUAUGGAGACUUCAUUGCACACACAUGACUGAAACUUGUAUAGCCAUGUUGAAAUGUGAUUGGAUGAAAGAGAAUGAUCUAAUGAAUAGACUGGGUGGGAAAGCCUAGCAAGGACUGUCUGUCCAGAUUCUUAGCCUUUCUGUGCAGCAUUCCAUUCUUGUGGGCCUGGGGUAGCACCCCCUCCAUGUGAGGAGGUUCGAAUGACAACUAUCACGUGAGGUAGGCCGGAGUUAUAACCAGGAACUGUGGUUCAAAAUAGGUAUAAAUCAUAAUAUCACAGUGACAAUGAAUUUUCUUAUUUUCUCCAAGUCAAUAAAAAGAUUGGAGUCCUGUAGAGCCCCCAGCACAAGGUUAGGCACCUGGUAAUCAUUUAACUCAUGCCUACUCCGUUGAAAUGAAUAGUUAGGAAAGUAGAAAACUAAAACUCGGUUAAAUCUAGUUUAGGCAAACCACAGCCUCAUAGGUGCUAAGUUAAGGUAUGUGGGUCUUCCGCUUUAUAAAAAAAAUACAGUUUAAAAAAACCCAACAAUAAACUUGUCCAUGACUUAAAUGACCUUUCGGAAAUUCCAGAACAUCUUUGAUUUCUACUUAUUUUAACCAAUUACCAGGCGGAUUGCUCAAUUUGUAUGCUAAUUUCUUCUUCCUUAUGUUUCAAUGAAUUGCCAUUAGAAAGAUUAUAUAUAAAUCAUGUAUAAACUGCCAGAGCAAAUCUGAACAUUUUUAAGCCAUGCGGUUUCUUGGACAGUUGGCCCAGCUGGGUGGUCUGGUUUGGAACACAGUCUCUCUCCGAGGGCAUCUAAAGUAACAAGUAGAUUCUGUGUGUGGGCUAAAGCUUCUCCCCUGUGUCUUGGCUAGAUAAUCUAGGAUAUGUUUGAUCAAAUUGACAGGAUUGGAUCAACUGCUAGAACUAAAUCAAUCAAUCUUCAUUUAUCAAAUAAAUAUGUGCACACGGACUCCCAUGUAGCUGGCACUAGCUUAGGCCCUGGAAAUAUUUUAAAAUUAAGUGUGUCUGGCAUUGUUUCCAGAGAUAGACAUUCACUGGCUCACAUUCUGUUAUUAUGGGAUAAUUCUAAUAGUCCAAAUUACAUUUAUUACAGAAUCCAAUGAGCAAAACUUUGCAAACUGAUUCCAAGUCCCUUGCUGGAAUGCACCAGUGAGUGCAGCCCACACAGCUAGGAUCUACUGCAAAAGUUUCAAGGUCAGGAGAACUUAUUGUCCAGAGAAGAAAGGGAAGUGCAUUCCUGCCUGCCCUCACUUCCACCUCCCAUUUCUUCCCUUCUGGCAUCCUCAACUGUCAAGAGGAGAUCUAGAUCCCCCUGAAAUAAUCCAUACCCUCACAUUCUUUCUCAUGUGUGUGUGUUUUAAGAGAAAGCACUAUUGACAAGAAUUAAUCAAGGGCUUUACUAUUAUAAGAAUCACUUCCAUGAAUACUGUUUCAUUUGGCCCGUACAACACAGGGCAAAGAUGACAGGAUAUAGUCCCCUCCUACAGAAGGAAAAUGAAGACUCCAAAUGUUUUUGAACCAUCUGGUUAUGUAACCAUAAUUCAACAUAGUCCUCUUAAAUCUAAAGUUCUGUGCUUUACUUAUAUCCUUCCUUGGGCAGGUUAUUUCACAAAACCUCAUGCUUCAUGGCUGAGGUUAUGUAGAAACUGGAUUAAUCAUACCCCUAUUCGAUCCAUAUCUUCAGUUUCCCAUCUGCUUUGUUGAUGGAUUCUAGGGGAAACCCCAUAAAUAAAAGAGAUGAGUCAUAUAACGAUCUCCCCUUGUGAACACUCAUAAUGCAGAGAAAGCCUAAUAUUGCAAAACAUUGCAAUAGAAAAAUAAAAGAGAAGUAACACCUAUGUGGCAGUUUUGAGGUAAGGAAGGGGGUGGUCAAGUUGUCCAGACAUGGAACAGCCAUUCUAGUAAUCUGGCCCACUGAGGCAGCACUGGAUCAUUCAGCGCUCUCAGACUUGAAGGUGAUGUGACCACUUGACCCACUCAUUCUUCUUUGCUAUACUCACCCUAAGAGUUUGCUCGGGUGGAACUAUACUGGGAGCAAAUAGAAGAGGAUUCUAUAGUAUAUCUUUUUUUACCAGCUCUGCUCAUUGUAUGGCUUAUUGUAAUUGCUGCCUGGAUUAAUUCUGCAUUCAAGAUUGGAUGUCUGUUCUUUCUGUAGAUCUCUAAGGAACACACAUAGAAGACAAAACAUCCACAUCCCCACUUUAAAGACACUUUUUUCUUUUGGUACCAGGGAUCGAACUCUGGACCUUGCGCUUGAGAGGCAGGCGGCGGAACCACUGAGAUAAAUCCCUGGCCCUUUAAAGACACUUUUAAUACAAUCCUGCUGCUCCAAAUCUCCAAUGACAGCCUCCUUUCCCAAACCAACUUUCACCUCCUCUUCAGCCCCAGGGAUGAUAUGGCCAGUCAUUUCCAAUAAAGCAUUAAUGGGGAUAGUUACUGACUCCAAAUGUGCUUCACAUGCUGACAGGCCAACUGGGCCAUGAAGUUAAAAAUCACACUGGAGCUGGGGAGGCAGCAGGACACAUAGGCAGCCACAGUGUCUUGUUUUCUUCUCCAGGCCAGGGCAACUGAGCCUCCCUUUGCUUUGUGGAUCAUGCCAGUGAGGUCCUAUGCACCCUUCCAUCUUGGUUACAGUGGGUUCCAUGAACAUGACAACUACAGCUUAGGGCCUGCCUCGCUUUUUUUUUCCAGCUCCAGGAGAGGUUUUGUGAAAUCAUAGCAUAGCUAGCAUAUGUCAAUGCCUCAUCCACACAUUUUUUUCUGAAUUCUUCUUGAACCUGUAAACCUUUCCACUUAUAUACUUCCUAGAGAAAACAGUAGAAUCCUAGAGCUGGAAACCAGUUUGCCUUUUUUUCUGGUGAGGAAAUUGAAGGACAGGUAUUGCAGAAUUGUCUGGCUAGCUCCAGUUUUAUACCUUCCCUCCCUGACAUCAUCAGCCAUUCACUGAUCAGACCUCUGUCGUGUGGUUACUAUGUGCCUGAUAUUGAAAUGGGCUCUGGGGAUGCAAAAAAGAAGGAGGCUGUGUCCUUUCCCCAACUGGUCUCAGUCUAGGAGUUGGAUAGAUGCCUAAAUACAUCUACACCUCACUGUAUGAGAUGCCAGCACAGAGACAGAGACAGGGACCUGAGAGACUUGAAUUACAUCCUUCAUUUCUUUCCAGAUUAAAAAAAAACUCCGAGUCCUUGAUAUUAUGAUCUUUUUUUGCUACCUCGAAGAAUAUAAUCCUUCUUGUUUAUUUUGGUGAUUUAAUUGCCAAUGGGUCACGGGGGAAAGGCAUUUUUUUGUCUUGAGUGACAAUACUGUAAUAUGAAGAUAUGCUGUUUCUACUGUGCUGCUUGCCAGCCUAAUGAUUAGCCCAAGAUCUACUGGGGCUAGAGGAUGGAUCAGUAGGCUUUUCCAUUAUGUGUGUGAAGAAUUUUAAUUUCCCAAAGGAAGGGGGUAGAAUCUGAGCUGUUUGCUCACAAUAAGGGCUAGGCUGAUAAUAAAUGUACACUACCAAGGCAUUAGGCCUUCUUCUCCCAAGUCACAAAAGGCCUACUCCUUUGGGACAGGCUCAAGGAAGCUGCUGAGCGCAAACCCAUGGCAGGUUCCCUCUG
rnacentral:lncRNA from 1 species